GACGAACGCUGGCGGCGUGCUUAACACAUGCAAGUCGAACGGAAAGGCUCCAGUUUGCUGGAGUGCUCGAGUGGCGAACGGGUGAGUAACACGUGGGCAAUCUGCCCUGCACUCUGGGAUAAGCUUGGGAAACUGGGUCUAAUACCGGAUAGGACCUUUCUCCUCAUGGGGUUUGUUGGAAAGUUUUUCGGUGCGGGAUGAGCCCGCGGCCUAUCAGCUUGUUGGUGGGGUAAUGGCCUACCAAGGCGACGACGGGUAGCCGGCCUGAGAGGGUGACCGGCCACAUUGGGACUGAGAUACGGCCCAGACUCCUACGGGAGGCAGCAGUGGGGAAUAUUGCACAAUGGGCGAAAGCCUGAUGCAGCAACGCCGCGUGAGGGAUGACGGCCUUCGGGUUGUAAACCGCUUUCAGUAGGGACGAAGCGCAAGUGACGGUACCGGGAGAAGAAGCACCGGCUAACUACGUG
rnacentral:rRNA from 1 species